AUUGAACGCUGGCGGAAUGCUUUACACAUGCAAGUCGAGCGGCAGCGCGGGGCAACCUGGCGGCGAGCGGCGAACGGGUGAGUAAUGCAUCGGAACAUGUCCAUGUCGUGGGGGAUAGCCCGGCGAAAGCCGGAUUAAUACCGCAUACGCCCGAGAGGGGAAAGCAGGGGACCGCAAAGGCCUUGCGCGAUUGGGUUGGCCGAUGUCCGAUUAGCUUGUUGGUGAGGUAAAGGCUUACCAAGGCGAUGAUCGGUAGCUGGUCUGAGAGGAUGAUCAGCCACACUGGGACUGAGACACGGCCCAGACUCCUACGGGAGGCAGCAGUGGGGAAUUUUGGACAAUGGGGGCAACCCUGAUCCAGCCAUUCCGCGUGAGUGAAGAAGGCCU
rnacentral:rRNA from 1 species